ensembl:lncRNA
AACCUGGCCAACAUGGUGAAACCCCAUCUCUACUAAAAAUACAAAAAUUAGCUGGGCAUAGUAGCGUGUUCCUGUAGUCUCAGCUACUAGGGAGGCUAAGGCAGGAUAACCACUUGAAACCAGGAGGCUGAGGUUGCCGUGAGCUGAGACCACAACACUGCACUCCAGCCUGGGGGACACAGUUAAACUCCGUUUCAAAAAAAAAAAAAAAAAGUUUUCCAGUGAGGGGAAGUAAAAGAAAGAGAAGUAGCUUAAAGAGAAUACACAUCAGAAAAAAUAUUUUAUGGUCGGCCAUGGUAGCUCACUCACACCUGUAAUCCCAGUUCUUUGGGAGGCCGAGGCCUGGGAUUACUUGAACCAAGGAGUUAGAGACCAGCCUGAUCAACAUGGUGAAACCCCAUUUCUACCCAAAAUACAAAAAUUAGCCGGAUGUGGUUGGUGCACUCUUGUAGUCCCAGAUGCUUGGCAGGCUGAGGCAGGAGAAUCACUUAAACCCAGAAGGCAGAGGUUGCAGUGAGCCAAGAUGGUGCCACUGCACUUCAGCAUGGGCAACAGAGGUUGACAAGAAAAGGUUUUUGUUUUGUUUUGCUUUCUCAGAUAAAAGAUGCUAGCCCAUCUUUGGUUUCAGAAAUCAGAAUUUAUUAGAAAUAAAGAGAUGAUGGUGUGGAGAAGGAAGGAUUAAAUUCAAAGGGCAGGAGUGAAAUGAUGAGAGGAGGAACACUCCCACUGUUGAAACUGGAAGGAAGGAAAAAAAAGUACAGGUGCAGAUUGAAUAAUAGAUUUGUGAAUCAGGCUGGGCGUGGUGGCUCACGCCUGUAAUCCCAGCCUUCUGGUGGGCAGAUCACCUGAGAUCAGGAGUUCCAGACCAACCUAGCCAACAUGGCGAAAACCCAUCUCUACUAAAAAUACAAAAAUUAGCUGGGUGUGGUGGUGGGCAUCUGUAGUCUCAGUCUUGUGCCUCAGGGGGCUGAGGGGUAACUAGAUGAGAUAUAGUGGGGAAAAGAAGUGCUAGUGUUUUGUACACAAGAAUUGGUUGAACCUGGGAGGCGGAGGUUGCAGUGAGCCAAGAUUGUGCCACUGCACUCCAGCCUGGGUGACAGAGUGAAGAAAAAAAAGAGAUUUGGGAAUCAAAAGAUAAGCUAUUUCUGGUAGUCUCUAUUUUCUCAGAGAAGUAGGCAACAUCCUCAGUUGAGAGUAGAAGGUUGUGGAAAAGACGUGGAAGUUCAGAGGAAAAAGUAGAAAGUUGAGAAUUUGUAGAGUAAGAAAGAAAAUAAUUUGGGAAAGAGGAUGUAUAACAUAGGAAACUAGGCCAGGCACAGUGGUUCACGCCUGUAAUCCCAGCACUUUGGGAGGCCAAGGCAGGUGGAUCAUGAGGUCAAGAGAUUGAGAGCAUCCUGGCUAACAUGGUGAAACCCCGUCUCUACUAAAAAUCAUACAAAAUAUUAGCCAGGCAUGGUGGCAUGUGCUUGUGGUCCCAGCUGCUCGGGAGGCUAAGGCAGGACAAUCACUUGAACCCAGGAGGUGGAGGUUGCAGUGAGGUUUCAGUGAGCCAAGAUUGCACUACUGCUCUCCAGCCUGGGCGACAGAGCAAGACUCAAAAAAAACAAAAAAAAACAAAAAAAAA